UACGGGGGGGCAAGCGUUGUUCGGAAUUACUGGGCGUAAAGGGCGUGUAGGUGGCCAACUAAGUCCGACGUGAAAUCCCCAGGCUUAACCUGGGAACUGCGUCGGAUACUGGAUGGCUUGAAUUCGGGAGAGGGAUGCAGAAUUCCAGGUGUAGCGGUGAAAUGCGUAGAUAUCAGGAGGAACACCGAUAGCGAAGGCAGCUCGCUGGGACGGUACUGACGCUGAGGCGCGAAAGCGUGGGAGCAAACAGG
rnacentral:rRNA from 1 species